rnacentral:tRNA from 1 species
GUCUGCAUGGCUCAGUUGGUUAGAGCGCCGGUCUCAUAAUCCGGAGAUCGCCAGUUCGAUCCUGGCUGCGGACA